rnacentral:rRNA from 1 species
UACAGAGGGUGCAAGCGUUAAUCGGAAUUACUGGGCGUAAAGCGUGCGCAGACGGUUGCGUAAGUCAGAUGUGAAAGCCCCGGGCUCAACCUGGGAAUUGCAUUUGAGACUGCGUAGCUAGGGUGCGGAAGAGGGAAGCGGAAUUUCCGGUGUAGCGGUGAAAUGCGUAGAUAUCGGGAAGAACACCCGUGGCGAAGGCGGCUAUCUGGACGGUUUCUGACGCUAAGACGCGAAAGCGUGGGGAGCAAACAGG